rnacentral:rRNA from 1 species
ACAUGCAAGUCGAACGGUGAAGCCCAGCUUGCUGGGUGGAUCAGUGGCGAACGGGUGAGUAACACGUGAGCAACCUGCCCCUGACUCUGGGAUAAGCGCUGGAAACGGCGUCUAAUACUGGAUACGAGACGUGAUCGCAUGGUCAACGUUUGGAAAGAUUUUUCGGUUGGGGAUGGGCUCGCGGCCUAUCAGCUUGUUGGUGAGGUAAUGGCUCACCAAGGCGUCGACGGGUAGCCGGCCUGAGAGGGUGACCGGCCACACUGGGACUGAGACACGGCCCAGACUCCUACGGGAGGCAGCAGUGGGGAAUAUUGCACAAUGGGCGCAAGCCUGAUGCAGCAACGCCGCGUGAGGGAUGACGGCCUUCGGGUUGUAAACCUCUUUUAGCAGGGAAGAAGCGAGAGUGACGGUACCUGCAGAAAAAGCACCGGCUAACUACGUGCCAGCAGCCGCGGUAAUACGUAGGGUGCAAGCGUUAUCCGGAAUUAUUGGGCGUAAAGAGCUCGUAGGCGGUUUGUCGCGUCUGCUGUGAAAUCUGGGGGCUCAACCCCCAGCCUGCAGUGGGUACGGGCAGACUAGAGUGCGGUAGGGGAGAUUGGAAUUCCUGGUGUAGCGGUGGAAUGCGCAGAUAUCAGGAGGAACACCGAUGGCGAAGGCAGAUCUCUGGGCCGUAACUGACGCUGAGGAGCGAAAGGGUGGGGAGCAAACAGGCUUAGAUACCCUGGUAGUCCACCCCGUAAACGUUGGGAACUAGUUGUGGGGUCCAUUCCACGGAUUCCGUGACGCAGCUAACGCAUUAAGUUCCCCGCCUGGGGAGUACGGCCGCAAGGCUAAAACUCAAAGGAAUUGACGGGGACCCGCACAAGCGGCGGAGCAUGCGGAUUAAUUCGAUGCAACGCGAAGAACCUUACCAAGGCUUGACAUAUACGAGAACGGGCCAGAGAUGGUCAACUCUUUGGACACUCGUAAACAGGUGGUGCAUGGUUGUCGUCAGCUCGUGUCGUGAGAUGUUGGGUUAAGUCCCGCAACGAGCGCAACCCUCGUUCUAUGUUGCCAGCACGUAAUGGUGGGAACUCAUGGGAUACUGCCGGGGUCAACUCGGAGGAAGGUGGGGAUGACGUCAAAUCAUCAUGCCCCUUWUGUCUUGGGCUUCASCMUGCUACAAUGGCCGGUACAAUGGGCUGCAAUACCGKGAGUGGG